rnacentral:rRNA from 1 species
UACGGUAGGGUGCAAGCGUUGUCCGGAAUUAUUGGGCGUAAAGAGCUCGUAGGCGGUUUGUCGCGUCUGCUGUGAAAACUGGAGGCUCGAACCUCCAGCCUGCAGUGGGUACGGGCAAACUAGAGUGCGGUAGGGGAGAUUGGAAUUCCUGGUGGUAGCGGUGGAAUGCGCAGAUAUCAGGAGGAACACCGGUGGCGAAGGCGGGUCUCUGGGCCGUAACUGACGCUGAGGAGCGAAAGCGUGGGGAGCGAACAGG